rnacentral:lncRNA from 1 species
CCCAACUACACCCUUACAAUCAAAUAAACUAUAAAAUCAUCAGAAGAUCCAGAAUAAUAAAGUGCACGCCUAAUUAUCGGAAGAAGUAGAAUCAGGAAGUUGUUAACUCAAUCCUGCAUGCUGAUUUGUAAUUACAAUAGAUUGGAGUAAGGAUUGGAUCCGACACUGAAGGACUUCAAGAAGUGGCUUAUUUUCAAAUUAAGAAAUAUUGUUUUUAUUUAAAAGCUACCUUUGUAAAACUUGGAAUUUAUUCCAUCCAUUUAAAUAAAAUCCGGUGUUUCUAAACU